AGCCUGUGGAAGGCUGGGAUGAGUGGCAGGGCUGGGGGGGGGGUGUUUUUGUGCUGUGUUCCUCCCCUGCCUCCCCUUCCCCUGUGCUGCUGCAGACACUCGGAGGAAGGAUCGCUCAGUGCCCCCGUGGAUGGCCGGCGCUCGCUUUGGGCCAAACGCUGGAUGCGGGGCAGGGCAGUGGUGUUAGAGCCCCCUCGCUCCCUUCUUCUCCUUCUCCCUUCUUCCCUCUCUUUGCCCCUGCUGACAGUGAUCGCAUAGAAGUAGCAAAGGGCAGAGGCUGGGACUUGGGGUGGGGGCGGAGAGCAGAGCUCAGAGGUUUUCCUGCCCUUCCCCUCUGCUGGGGGCGCGGAGGGCACAGAGAGAGGAACCCACCUGGGGUUCUCCCCCCUCUUCUCCCCCUUCUCUCCCCCAUGCUGAUAUUGAGGGCACUGGGGGGGGGGAGGAGCCUUCAAAAGGCUAGGGUGAUGGUGUGGGAGGGAGGGGGAGGGAGGGGGGAGGCACUUCCCCCUCCCUCCCCAUUUACCCUGGGCUGCUGCAGGCCCUGGCAGGAAGGAUGGACAAGCCCAGCUAAGAGACUCCUUCUCUCUUUCUGCAGAUGGUGUGGCAGGAGGGAGGAGUCUGGGAGGCUCCUUGGCCAUUUCUCUGCCUGCCCACAGGGCUCAGGGUCAGCAGCCUGAGCUCACAUCAGACCCUGCCUCAGACCCUCAGUUGUUGUGUGGCCCUGGGCCAGUCUCUGAGCCUCUGUUUCCCAAUCUGCAAAAUAGCAGCACCUCCCUCCCAGGGUUGUCAGGGGACUCGAAUGGGAAGGGUUCUCACUCUGUGCUGGCCACCAUGCCUAGCCACCCCCGACCCCACCCCCACUAACCAAGGGUAUUCCUUGCUAGACUGGGGCGGGAAGUAGAGGUGGGGACCAGUCCUGUCAAGGCUUGGCAUGGAGGCCUUUCCUGCCCUUCCCAUCCGGCCUUGCAGCUGAUGCCACUGAGCGUGGGGCAGAGCUUUGUCAGGGCUGGUGGUAGGACAGGGAGCCCUUUUCAUUCUGAGGUGAGCCAUUGAACAACAAGCAGGCUAAACUAGACGACUUCCAGGCCCCCUUGAGCUUCCAGAGUGUUGUGGAGGAGAUGGAGUGCAAAGCAGACCCUGUGAGACACAGAGGCUCAGCUGAACUUGAUGAUCCACGUGGAUGCCAGAGGACUGAUGGUGAACCUUGUUCUCUCCUCUUCACAGAGGUGGUGGACUGCAGAGCCCAAUUACCCUGGACCGAGGUGGAGGAGGACAGUGCGAGGGCUAGAAGCCUUGUUUCCCCGGCCAGGAGCCUCCUCUGGCAGGCCGAAUGACAGCCUGGAGAAAGAGAGCUAAGGCGGGAACAGAAAACCAGGAACUGCCAAUUCCAAGCAAUGCCUGCCCCCUUUGUUGUCACACACCAAGCCCUGAAGCAGGGAGUGUGGCAGCCCUUCGUGGGGUGGGAGCUCUUCGGGGCUCCUUCCGGAAGUGUCGCUUUUGCCACGUCAGCCACCACCACCACGGGACCGUAGGCAUCAACUACGUCUUGGGAGACUCUCCUGCUUCUUGGGGACUAGACCUGGAAGGACAGCAGGCUCCUGCCUCGGUACCCUGUCUGCAAAGAGGCACCAACCACCCUGACUCGGGUCUUCAGGGAACGGUCUAGCUUUCACAAAGGCAUCUCGAUGCCAUGACGCUCAAGACACAGAUCAUUCUCUCUCCUAUGUCCCUCAGCCUCCUCACCUGGUUUUUUGUAGUUCAGUUCUUUCAGUCACGUCUGACUCUUUCUGACCCCACUUGGGGUUUUCUUGGCAGAGAUACUGGAGUGCUUUGCCAUUCCAUCUUCAGCUCAUUUUACAAAUGAGGAAACUGAGGCAAACAGGGUUAGUUGACUUGCUCAAGAUCACACAACUAAGUGUCUGAUGCCAGAUUUCAGCUCACUAAGAUGAGUCUUUCUGACUCCAGACUAGGCACUGUAUCCACGGUUUCGCGUAGUUGGUCUCAGCCUCACCUUUGAUCAUCAGAUGGUUCUCUGGCCAUCUUCUCUUCCAGGUAUUUUCCGUCUGCAACCUCAAGUGAGGUUGGACUCGUCCCUUUUACCUCUCCAGCUAGUAACCCAAAGUGCUGGAAGUAACUAGCAGACUUCAGGCCAAGAGAGCUGAAGAAAAGUCUGAAGAGCUGCCCUCUAUGCCACCGCACAUCCAGGAGAAGACUACAGAUCUCCACCCCUGAGGUUUGGGACUUGGCUUCCCCAAGUAUGAUUAUUUACAUUUUGUUUAUUUGAGGUUUUUGGAGGUGACCACAGUUUGCUUUCUUCCUCAGUUACUCUGGGGUCUUGUCCAGGGUCUGUACAAACUGCUGUGUGUGGUCACUCUAGGCCCCAAUGAGAAAACAGUUUGAUGGAAGUUUAGGCGAUGGAAUGGACCUUGAACCCAGACCUUAUAUGCUCAUAGGAUUUAGAGACCGUUUAUUAUAAACUGAGGAAACUGAGGCCCUGGGAGGGCAAGGGAUUUGUCCAAGUUCACCAAGGAAGGAGUCAUUUUGAACCUAAAUGCUAACUUUUCCCCAUUAAAUCUGGUUGGCCUCUUCAGGAAGGAAGAUGAA